rnacentral:piRNA from 1 species
UAGGUCAUUUGGACUUGAGGAUAAAGG